GCACAGCUGGUGUAACGGUAACAUCUGGGUUUCCCAUGCUCAGGCCGGGGGUUCGACUCCCUCGCUGUGCA